rnacentral:sRNA from 1 species
CAUCGGCAAUUGACGCCGAAGUCCGGAAAUAGGCCCGUCCCCCGCCUACCGGACACCAAGGCGGCAGCCUCAUCCCCCUCUCCGGGCUGCCGCCGCGUUUGGAGUAAUGCCGCCGUGGUUCCCCCUCCACCACGGCGGCACUUU